GAAAACUUUCCCUUUAUGACAAACGAAUCGCUCAGAAACAUUUUUUUAUUAAACAGCAGCAAACAUUACUUUAUAAAAUUCUCAUUGGGAUUUACAAUCAUUUAUACUAUCUGCUUAUGAUAAAUAAAUUUAGAGCGGCUACAAAAAGUAUUUGUACAUCAUAAUAUUUAUUAUAAUACUUAUGUACUAAUUAAUUAAGCCCAAGUAUAUAGAGUUUCCUAUCAUUUUGCAGUGACUACACAUAAUUAAAGAAGACACUAUAAAAAUGAAAAAUAUAGAACCUGACAAAAAAAAUCCUUUAUUAGAAAAUAAAAGGUACGUACAAGUGCUUCCUGGAACCACAUGAUAUAAUUUUAUAUGGAAUAUGAGUAUGAACAUAAGAUUCCUUUUUUGAGAUAUUGAAUACCAAUUAUGCACAUCUGAUUUAUGUGAAAUUGAUAAGUUCAUAAGAAGUGAAGCUAGCCAAUUUUGUUUCUGAAAGGCUCAAGUGACCCUUGGAUUUCCAGAUUUUUUUGUAAACGUAUAUUUUGUGGAUUAAUUACAUUUCAGAACGAUUUAACGAUUCAAACGAGGAUGUGAAAGAAUCUAUUGACCUGGCUGUUUCUUUAUUUUCAACUUAUAUCCCUAGGUCUAUGCUAUUUUAGAGUGGCACGUGAAGAAAGCGAGUAGUAAUAUUGGAAGCAACGAAAUCGGGCAACGAGUCCGAUUCGCAAGAAUUCUAAUAGCGUUCGAAGGUCGACCGAAAGCGGAAAAGUAGUUCGCCUAACGAUCGAUGGCGAGCUUUCCCGAUAAAAAGACAACGAACGGACGAUCCGUCGUUUAUUUACACAAGAUGGUUGCUAUUGUCUUUCAUAGAUCAUCAAUUGAUCUAUUUUUAUUUUUUAACGAUCAUCAAGAACACCAAGGCUUCUAAUGUGUUCUAACGGAGAUCUAAAUUAUUCAAUUCUUAACUCGGAGAAUCUAAACUUCAGGAGAGUAUCAGGAAAAUCCUAAACUUCGAAAAUAAGUCUCAAACAUCAUUGACCAAAGAAACUUUCAAACUAAAUUAUUCGAAAAACCAAAGUAUUCCCGGAAGUCUCGAAACAAACUAUCAAGAGUCGAGACAACGAUUUUCCAUUUUCCAAUCGGUAUUUCCCUGAGUCGUCACCGACACGGGAACCGAACCGGAGGCGACACUUCCGGAAGAUCAGCUUGUCGCUGGGAGGAGUGCCAGUACGAGCUCGAAGGGAUGAGAGAAAAGACGAAGAAGGAGGGCAAAGACCGUGUCGAGAAGGAGGUCACCCGGAUUUCGAGCGGUCUUCUCUCUACUCACCAGAAAGCGAACCGUAUCUCAAGGUAGCCCAUCAUUUUUCGUGGGAGGAGUUUUUGGCACGGCUGCCACCCCUUUUCCCUCCCGAGUUCCACCGAGUAAUCGAUCGAUCCGCCAAGACUAUGCUUUUACCACCUUCCCGAUAGACGCCAUCAAGAAAAACGCACGAUUACUCCGAUCGCUUUUCGCUUCUCUGAAAACCUUCCAGCUCGCUGAUCUCUGCGUAGCUUUCAACGAUAUUAUUCCACUACCAAAACUGUAUUCCAGAUUGGUCGAAGCCAGAAAUGAUAAUAUGAAUUUGCAUUUGAUCGUCGAAUACAGUAUGUGAAUUUCUUAUUCAGGUACAAUUUUAAGGCGACUACAUAUGUAGUCUACAGUGACGAUCAAAAGAAAGUUUAAUGCGUGAAAUAGAAGAAACGCUGUGAUUUUACGAAACUGAAUUAUGAUUGGCGAGAAAAUUGAACGUAUAAUAUAAUUGUUCGUUCUAUAGAUAAGACGAGUUUUUA